GAUCCUGCUGUAUAGCACUGGGAACUAUAUCUAGUCACUUAUGAUGGAGCAUGAUAAGGUGAGAAAAAGAAUGUAUAUAUGUAUGUGUGACUGGGUCAUCUUGCUGUAUAGUAGAAAAUUGACAGAACACUGUAAACCACCUAUAAUGGAAAAAAUAAAAGGAGGCCCUGGUGAGAGUACCUAGGAACAGAAGGUCAGGAUGGGUGAGGCUGGAACAACUUCAUCUGCUGUGUAACAUUGUAGCCUUGGAUCUGGUAUUGGAGCCUGAGCUUCACUGAGUUGCGAACUUUGCAGCUGGUUCAUUCACACAUCAAAUAUUUAUUGACAUUUGCGAUGUGCCAGAUACCAUACCUAUGUCUAUAAUUUAAUUAGAUUAUAAAUCAGUAAUUAAUUAAUUCAACACAUAUUUAUUGGACAUCUACCAUUAUCCAGGCCAGGGGUUAGUUGCUAAAAAGAGUCAGGUCUCAGCUUCCAGUGAAUCAGGAGCCAGAAAUGCUGGGCUUCUCUACUGUCCUUCAUAUUCCAAAGAUGGCUGGAAAAAAAAAAAAAAUACUGGUUCCUUCUGAGUAAGCAAAACAAAGCCCAGUAGAGCUGGUUUGUUGUGUUGUCCUACGAGAAUGAUGUUCUGCACGGAUCCCUGAAGUUCAGAGGGAGGCACUUCUGUGUGAACAGGGUUGACAGCUGUGGUCCUGCCAGCCCAACGGGGACGGUGAGCACUUUCCUGUCACAUGCAACCAGGCUUCCCACAGUCACCCCUGUGCUUGGCGGUACGACCCCUGACACACUUUUUCUAGAAACAGUGCUUAGCCAGUGAAGCUAAAUGCAUGUGAGACAGGCUGUCAAAACUUGGUCCCAUGCAGUCUUCCUGCAUGGUUUCCUAGAAAACAUGCAGUGUACCCUACAGGAGGCCUGCUCUUCUCUGUGUCUGCAGACAGUGGAUAAUAGAGGGCGUGAGGGGUCAGAAGCACACAUACUUCUAAAGUUAUAGCAGCUGCCCCAUAUUACACCCAAAGACAAAUAAUUCAUUUUUUAAAUGUGAAAGCCAGGGCUGGAGGAGACCUGGGAGUCUCCUGGUAGCUCUCUGUUGCUUUCUUGGAGACCUCUUUGUACAAACAGGCUACAGUGAUGCUAAAGACGAAAAGGCACUCUUGAUCCAGUCUUUUUUUUUUUUUUCCUUUGUUUUUUUUGAGUCUAGCUAUUUUUACAAAGCCUAAAAAAAUUAUUUUCCAGGGAGCAAAUAUCCAAAGUAGUGAAUGUGUUUAAGUGGACUGAUUACUUUGGCUUCAAAAUAUAGGUCAUUUCCUUGAGAUAUCAUUGAGGAUUUUAAUAUUAUACUAAUUUUAAAAAUCACAAGUGUUUACUUUGCAAUACUUAAACAGAAAACUCCUUGAGAACACAAAAUAGCUAAUUCAGUGCUCUCUCUCUUUCUGAGAAUUGCAUAUGGUAGACCUGGAUGUGUAUUUAUUGAAAAAAAUAUAUAUGUAUACAUGUAUAUGAAUAUAUGUAUACAUGAUGGAGUGAGAAUAUGGGUGAACACUGCUGAGUGUCAAGGAAGCAGGCUCAGGAGAGUGUGGUUUUUGUCCUUCAGGUUUUCUUGCUACAGAAGCAGGUGAGAACCUGUCUCUUGCUUUGCAGGGCGCUGUUCACCACGCUUGCUCUGUCAGAACCCUGCUGACCUUCACCGAUAAGUAGGGCUUUACAGGUUUGAAGAGUCCAAAAGAAAGUGGGCCAUUUUUUCAGGAUGGUAAAUCUUCUAAUAUAAGUUGAAAUUAAAAAUAAUUUGGAAGGUCAUCCUUUUCUCCUCUGGGGGACAAAAGUAAGAGGAAAAUUUGUUUGAAAAUUUAGUUUAUAACCCUAGACUUAGGUAAGGAUUUCCAUAAAGACUCCGAACCCCAUUAAAGCUGCUUCAAGGAAACAUAUGUACACCUUUUACUACAGAUAGUUUAAUUAACUUGAUAAAUUGAGUUCACCAGUAGGUGGUAAAAUCUCUGUUAGGCUGGAAGGAGGAAUAUUUAAUUUCCAUAUCUGCUCAGGAAACUCUUUAAACUUAGAAUGUUUAUCCUUAUGGCUGGAUAAUAAGAUUAUUUGGCACCAGUGAAUAUAAAAAUGGAGAUUGUUCUAAUAACUCUCUGUGUUCAUUUCCUACGUGCUGUCCCUCAGUUAACAGAUCACUCAGGCCUCACGCUCUCGUGAGCGUCAUUUAGUUCUACCAGUUACACCUCUGGAAUAUCACCCAACCCUGUCCCUCUUCUCUAUUUCUUUUCUAUUUCAAAUUUACCUGCUCUGUAUCUCCUUCCUUCCCUUUCACAACGCUGUCAGCUCUCAUUUUGUAACAUGAUGGACUAUGUCAUUUCCUAAAACUCUAAAAUAGCACUCCACCAGACAGAGUGAUGUCCUAACCCUAUUGCAAAGCGUUCAGGGUCCCCUCACAGCCUUGCUUCGACUACUCCUUCCAGUCUCAUCUUUCACCCCUUCCCUCCACAAAAAUUCUCUUCCAGCCACGUUCAGCUCCUCAAUCUUCCUCUUCAGAUGAUGAAUGAGAAAGACAGUAGCAUGCAGCUGUUGAGAACAGAAGCUCUAGUAAAUGGAGUAUAACCUUUAAAAAUUGUGAAUCACUAGGUUGUACACCUAAAAUGUAUAUAAUACUGUAUAUCAAAUAUACCUCAAUAGGAGUUCCCAUUAUGGCUCAGUGGUAACAAACUCAACUAGUAUCCGUGAGGACACAGGUUCGAUCCCUAGCUUCAUUCAGUGGGUUAAAGAUUCGCUGUUGCCGUGAGCAGUGGUGCAGGUCGCAGAUGAGGCUUGGAUCUGGCAUUGCUAUAGCUGUGGCAUAGGCUAGCAACUACAGCUCCAAUUCAACCCCUAGCCUGGGAACUUCCAUAUUCACAGGUGCAGC
ensembl:lncRNA